AAAAGGAAAUAAAUAUUCCAUACUCACAAAAAUGGAAGAUUUUAACAAGAGCCAACAAAUCUAUCUUUGUUUUGACAGUGGUUACACUUGCUUUGCUUGUCCUUGGAUUUUCAACGCCGCUUUGGAUUUCGAUAUCUGUUGAAACUGACGCUCUCAUUGAACUAUUUGAAGUUGCCGACAAACAGUAUAUUGGUCUUUGGCAGUUGUGCUUUAAACAUUAUGGGUGUGUUGAUCUAUCAUUGCUGGCGAAACAAUUUUCAAUCUUUACAAAGAUUAUCAACGACAAUGGAAAUAAAGAUGAAAAACUAGAUAUGAUAAUUCACAAGGUCAACAAAAUUAUAAAUUUGUGGAUAGUUUCAAGAUUAUGUGCAACUGUGGCCGUCGUUUGUGCAAUCUCGUUUUCGAUUUGGAAACUGCAUUUUAUCUGGAUACGAAAGAUGACCCACAUCCGUGUCUACCAUAUUGUGUCCAUUGUGGAAAAUAUCUUAAUCGGUUCUGUUUUAAUUGUUUGCUUGGCAACGUUUCGUGUUGCAGUACAUACCUUUGAUGAGAUACACGAGGACAUACUAUCGGAAUGGAAAAGAUUCGUAGACAUUAACAGAUACUUUUCCUUUUCCUUUUGGAUGGUUAUUGUUGCAACAAUACUUUGCCUUUCAAAUGGGAUACUAGCCAUAGUCAGUUUACGCAAAGGAUAUGUAAUCACCACAAAAGCUGCACCAGGAAGGGGAUUAGAAGAAGCAACCAAAUCUAGAAACGCGAAAUCCUUAGCUAUUGUUUAAGUGUAUAAUAAAUA